rnacentral:rRNA from 7 species
UCCCUUAGUAACGGCGAGCGAAAAGGGAUGAGCCCAGCAUGUAAAUCUCCGGUUUCCGGCGAAUUGUAGUCUGGAGUAGCAACUCCUGGUGCCGUGCCGGCCCAAGCAUCUUGGAAUAGAUCGCCUCAGAGGGUGAGAGCCCCGUAGGUCGGUACGAGCUCCUACACGGAGUGCUCACGCAGAGUCGGGUUGUUUGGGAAUGCAGCCCCAAUUGGGUGGUAAACCCCAUCUAAGGCUAAAUACCUGUGGGAGACCGAUAGCAAAAAAGUACCUCGAGGGAACGAUGAAAAGACCGCUGGCAAGCGAGUGAAAGAGUGCAUGAAAUUGUAUAGUGGGAAGGGAUGGCCUGGCGUAUUGCCCGCGGGUAUACACUGCUCUUUGAGCUCUUGAAUACACCGUGGGCUGGCUGGUGCCGACACCUGCGCUUGCAAAUCCCCAAACUAAGGUGUUUGGCUCUUCAA